rnacentral:rRNA from 1 species
CGGACGGGUGAGUAAUGUAUGGGGAUCUGCCUGAUGGCGGGGGGUAACUACUGGAAACGGUAGCUAAUACCGCAUAAUGUCUACGGACCAAAGCGGGGGACCUCCGGGCCUCGCGCCAUCAGAUGAACCCAUAUGGGAUUAGCUAGUAGGUAAGGUAACGGCUUACCUAGGCGACGAUCCCUAGCUGGUCUGAGAGGAUGAUCAGCCACACUGGAACUGAGACACGGUCCAG